GUUUACUGGGAGCUGUAGUCUACCUGCAACGAUAGGACUACAACUCCCAGCUGGCAAGAGAUUUGCGCAAGCGCAGUUGCGGAGAUCCUGUCCAUGGUUGCCUAUGCGGAGGGGGAAGCGCGCAGAGCGAUGUCGAGAUCCGAUGAGGAAGAGAUGGAUUUCGGUGGAUUCUCUCGAUUUGACAGUCGAAGUAGCUCAGCCGGAAACAGUGAGCUAGAGUCCUGGCAGGAGGAGGAUGAAUCAUCUGAGGGAGAAGUGGCACAAGAUGAGCAGAGUAUUUGUCUAGCUGAUGUGAAUCCAUAUAUUCUGUGUCCUGUCUGUGGAGGCUACUUUAUUGAUGCGACUACCAUCACAGAAUGUCUGCACACAUUCUGUAAGAGCUGUAUUGUGAAACAUUUUGACUACAGCAACCGUUGUCCAAAAUGCAACAUUAUUGUCCAUCAGACACAACCGCUAUAUAACAUAAGACUGGACAGAAAACUACAAGAUAUCGUUUACAAGCUAGUGCCCAACUUAGAAAGCAGUGAAAAAAAGCGACUUCAUGAUUUCUACAGAGAAAGAGGACUUGAGGUUCCUAGACCAGUUGUCCAGGUGCCCAACAAUGGUAAAGUGAACCGUAUCCGAUCGCUGGAUAAGAAGCUGGCGUUACCCAUGGUUCCCCUGGACUGUCCGUCAUCACCUCAUCUUGAGAUUUCAUUGGUGCUCGAAUUUAUCGGAGCUGAUCUUGGAGUUGGUGACUACAAGCCAUUGCAGAAGAAAUACAUUCGUGUCUCAGAGGAAGCAACGAUUCGACAUGUUGAAAAGUUCAUUAGGAAGAAGCUGGAAUUGGACCCAAUCUGUCAGAUUUUCCACCAGAGCACUCUACUGAGAAUUGCUGCCAGCUGUCAAUAGGAACUGCUGCUCCUGAACUUUUGCAACUUUAUGGUUUUCUGAUGGGAUUUUAUCAAAAAAUUGGAAAUGCAAAGUUGACUGAAGAUUGGAAGCAGCAGCAGCAUCAUUGAAACUCACCUGAAAGAUUGGCUUUCAAGCUAACAAUUCUGUUUUGUUUCUAAAGCCAGUCUUUCAGCUCUGAAUUACUUGCUGCUCAGGACCAAGACUUCCAUUGGUGACAAUGAACCCAUGUGCCCCUAGCCAAAAUUUGGCACUGUAUCCAGCUCUCUUCCAGGCCCUGUCAGUCGUUCAGCUCCACAAAGCGGGGACAUGUCUUUCAUUGUCCUGACAUCAGGAGGACAGAUGAAACAUCACAGUGAUGUCCUCAAAGCAGCCUUGAAGAGGCCAGACAUUUCUACUGACUUGUGGGCCUGUGGCUUACCAAAAUGGAGAAGGUUUAUUUGAGGAAGCACUUUGCAUGUUGAAAGAACAUUGGGAACAUGCAGGGACAAAGUUGAGGCAUCGGAUGGAGCACCAUAAACCUCCAAACAUUCCAUCUACCCGACUCUUCAAGCAGCAUCUGCAAAACAUGACAGAGUCAGCAGAUUGCGAAUUGGACUUAUCAGCCAUGUCAGAGAUCAUCGAUCUGGAGUACAAGCAAGCCAACCUCAUUUGUGAGGGAUUGCCCUAGUGAACAUGCGGUUUCAAAUUGUGUCAGUUAAUUGAUUUCCUUGGAACCAGCAGAAUUCGGAGUUGCAAGCUGUGAUUGCAGGUUCCUAGUGGAAUUCAGGACAGGAACGUUACCCUGAGUGAGCUUUCCAGGACACUUAAAAAGGAACAGACGUGAUGUUCACAGAGAAGAUCAGCAUCUGGUUUGAGUUCCAACAGCAUUACAUGAUCCCAGUCACAUGGAUAUAGGUAGAUAUCAUCUGUGGAAACAAGAUCUUAGAACAUCACCAGACCUUGAGGCACAUUCGAAGCAGUGUCACCCACAGCAGCAUACGGGUUAGU